GACAGAGGCCUCGAGCGUUAGGCGGAAUCACUGGGCUUAAAGCGUGUGUAGGCGGACGCCUAAGUACCUUGUGAAAUCCCACGGCUCACCCGUGGAACCGCUGGGUAUACUGGGCGCCUUGGGCCAUUCAGGGGCAACUGGAACAAGCGGUGGAGCGGUGAAAUGCGUAGAUAUCGACUUGGAACGCCGACGGUGAAACAGGUGCUGGGAAUGUGCCGACGCUGAGAACACGGAAAGCCAGGGGAGCAAACGGGG
rnacentral:rRNA from 1 species